rnacentral:lncRNA from 1 species
CAAUGCAGUAGAAUCUUACAGUGUAUACCUUCAAAUAUUUGAAGAUCUCUCAACCAGGACUCUGUUGUUAAAAAACUGAAGAGAUGUUCCUCAUGGCCACUUCUAAGACAAAGCAGUUUUGCCUUCAGUGAGGCUCAGUCUCAAACACCCAGCACUGGGUCAACUGCUCUGCAGUCCUUAGCUUCAGGCAAUUCAGAUGCAGUAAAUCAGUUGGCAAAUGACACGGAAAAGAUGAAAAUAAAGGAUCUAGUUGACAGAUCAUCAGUCUCUCACAGGCUGACAGCAAACCAAGAUCCUUGUCCAUACAGAGGUUUGCUCAAUCUAGGUGCAACGUGCUAUCUGAAUGCAACCUUGCAGGUGCUCUUCAUGACCCAAGCGUUCAGAGAGAGAGUGCUGCUGCUGUUGGUUUCAUCUUCUUGUCUUUUUCAUGUGUCUAAUGAAAAAUCGUGCUGAAAUGAAAAACAGUUGUUGUCUAUUCUUUUAGAACUCCUGGUGACACAAGUGAGAAAUUAGAGUCAGCAUUAAAGGAACUAUUUAAAGAGCUCAGCAAUCAGGUCAGGGGUGCUCAGAGCAUCUCAACGGAAGGAAUAAUCAAGGCUCUCGGUAUACAGAGAAGUACGUUUAUGAUGGGCGCAAUUGAAUGAAAUCCUUCAUUGUAACCGCACUGUUUGUGUGUAUGAAGUGUGUUGUAUUUUCACUUUAAUUUCAGUAUAUGAGCAGCAGGAUGCUGUGGAAUACUUCCUAGAUAUCCUAGAGAAAGUAGGCCCUGAUUUGGCCGAGGUAGCUUAUUUCUUUUCAAUAUGUAACAAUGCAGAAAAAUAACAGAACGUUUGCUUGUUAAACAGUGAAGAAGGUCCUGUGCAGUGUUUGCUCUGUGACUCUUUUAACUGA